rnacentral:pre_miRNA from 1 species
UUUAAGUAUAGUUGUGCGUUUCUCCGUUUCUGUGUUUGAUUCAUCUUAUUUGAAAUUUUUUAUGAUUAAUAUUUUUAUUGUUAUUAUAUGAUAAAAUAUGAAUAGUACUUUGUGUGACUUUUUUUUUUAAUUUUUCACAUAUUUUCCAAACAAGACGGAUGGUCAAACGUUGGACACGAAACCCACCACCACACUUAAA